UCAGAGGACAGAAAAACCAGCCAUGAAGAU
rnacentral:piRNA from 1 species